ensembl:lncRNA
ACUUUACUAGGUUCCAGGGAUACUAGGCAAAAAAAAAAAAACCUAUUCUCUCCAUGUGCUUAUAUCCUAGAGAGCAGAAGGUCUACAUACAAAAUGUACAUAAAUAUUAAUAGAUAUAAAUGACAUGUUAGGGAGUACAUCAGGGGAAUUCCAAAAUUGACUUGUUAACCUUAUGGGGUAGUAAGCCUAUUUGAUAUUUUUGAAAGCAGAUACUUAUAAAGACUUUGGACAAGCCUACUGAUGCUUUCUUUGUUCAACAAUGAUAGAAGACUUCCAGAAUAAGAUUCAGUGACGGGGGCUGUCCUGAAUAGAAUUGUCCUGAUCCUUGGCAUGAGGAAUUUUGUUUGCAGGAUCUUUCCUUUGGGGGGGGGCAGUAGGUUUCACUGAAGAUGCAUUUAAACAUCUUUUGCUUGUUUGUUUUGGUCUUUUCUCCUUUCUAGAAAGAUGUGGAGAGUGCAGAAGGGAGAGGAUGGGGAUUCUAUCCUCACUAAGAGAAGUUAAUGGCUACCUUGGAGAUAUAUACUUGAAUACAAAGCCCAAGAAGGAACUUUAGUCUCCAGUUUAGAGGAAGGGGAAUUUCCUGGGUAACAUAAAUCUUAGGGGGUGUCUCAUGUUUUAGAGUCUUGACAUCCCAGGAUCAAAUCUUCUGGUCAAAUAAGAAGAGUUUUGUAGACAAUGUGAACCGCACACCCCAUAAUGCCCUUUAUGACAAUAGAGAAAGCAAGGAGAGUGGUUGGUUCUUAGUAACACCAACCAAAUGGAUCUAGCCGAAAAUUGUGAGAUACUUUAUAGUUGUUAUUUAAAUUGGAUCAAAAUUAUACAAGAAAACCAGAUAAGAUUCAGUGAGCAAUGUCAGGGGAAUUUCCUGAGCAGCAAAGAGCAGUUGGCUCCAUCCAGGGAAGAACAAAAGUAGGGAAUCAAAGGAGCGUGGAUAAUGAAGAGAAGUGUUGUCUGAUACUCAUAAUAGAGUUGGGAAAAGCACAUUUCAAAGGAUUGAGAGAAGAGAGAGUCCCCCUCUACGUCUGACUCAGGAAGCACAUCCUUCAUGUUAACCCAUAACUCCCCUUCUCCCAAGCCUGAGUGGAAUAGUAGAUGGAACAUUGAACUUGGAUAAAGGAAGAUCUGAGAUUGGAUCCUGCCUCUGACACUUAGUAGGUGUGUGACCCUCAGCAUGUCACUUGACUCUCUCAGCCUUAGUUUCCUUUUAUUUAAAAUGUGAAAUAAUAACAAUAUAUGUGCCCAUAGAAUUAUGUAGCAUCAAAUGAGGUUACCUAUGGAAAGUGUUUUGCUAACCCUAAAACACUAUCCAAAUUUUGGCUAUAUGUACAUAGGAUCCUACCAAGGGUUACCUUACACAACCCAGUUAACCUAAUAUUACAGUUUGGUCAAAUCUAAAAGAGAAAUAUGUCCUUUUGCUGUCUCAGAAGUUCACAUGAGUAUUUUCAACAACAGAAGAAAGGAUAAAGAGCAAUAGAAAAUUAUGGAUCAGAAUACAGUUUCCUCUUCAAGGUGCUUUUACAUAUAUUUCAUUCUACACUCAUAUUUUAUCUCCUUGGCAACAUAUUCUGCAGAAUCCAGUGCCUUUAAAAUACAUGACCAACCCAAUCCUGUAAUUAACAGUGGUUACCAUUGAGUAAAACAUUAACCCUUAAGGUUAACCAGAAGAAAAUAUUUAUUGAUAUUCAUCAAGGAAAGCAUGUCAACCAGUAGAAUUGGCUCAUGUUAAU